rnacentral:misc_RNA from 1 species
UGGUAACAUUGCUAUUAUAACCUCUAAAAGCCGAACAGCUGAUAGUGGACUGUAACAAUAUUUACAUACUAUUUCGUGCAAAAAAAUAAAUUGUUUGCUCACAAAUAUUACUCGAAACAAGUAUACGGAGAGGAAUCAUAUUGAUAAUUAUAAGAGUGAAAUAGUUUUAAUCGGUUAAAGUUUUGUAUUUAGGUUCAGUAAAACGAAUUAACUGUUUACUGAAAUGCCACCAAAAAAGCAACCCGAAAAGGGAAAAGCAGCCGGAGGUGCUAAGUCCGGUGGAGGUAAAUCUGGCGGCGAUGCAAAAGAAUCUGCAGGAAAAGAGAAAAAAGGCGGGACAGCUGUCAAAGUACGUCAUAUUCUAUGUGAAAAACAGUCAAAAUGUUUGGAAGCUUUGGAAAAAUUGAAAGCCGGUCAGAAAUUUCCGGAUGUAGCGUCAGCGUAUAGUGAGGACAAGGCGAGGCAAGGCGGGGAUCUCGGCUGGAUGACUCGUGGUUCAAUGGUGGGGCCUUUCCAGGAUGCAGCAUUCGCCUUGCCCAUAUCUACAGUCAACAGUCCUGUGUACACUGACCCUCCAAUCAAAACCAAGUUUGGAUAUCACAUCAUAAUGGUAGAAGGCAAAAAAUGACAGACAUGGUGUUCGAAUUUGAAUAUUUCUGGGCGAUAUUACUGCUAUUCAUUAUGGAAAGGAUUUGCUGCCUUCAGGAGCAAUUUGACAAAGAUUUCACUAUACUGCCCGACCCUCAGAGGUCUGAUGAGUCCCUAACUACUGAUAUGGAGGACUUUGCUAAUAGAGAUUUUGGUUUAAAGCUAAGCUUCCUCCGUCUGUGUCGUUUAAUGCAUGUCACAAUGCUCCUGACUCUUGUGUAUUUCUGCAAUGUAUGCCUUUGGUUCAUAAUGACUAAGAAACCAACGCCCAGGUCUCUAAGAUACAGGUUUAAAGUAUCCAUGCCAGGAUAAUGUAAUUUCAGAUCAUAAAUCUAAGAAAAAAAUCAUGACUGUACUAAACAUAAUUGUUACUGUAACUUUUUUAAGUGCUGAAAUAAAUGCAAUUAUGUUGUUCAUGAA